AUAACAGACUAAACUAGUCUGUUAAGUAUGGCAUGGCAUCAUUUCCCUAAUUUAAUUUUUAAUAAGAUCUUGGAUUAGCAAAAAUGUGCUGAAGAAUGUACAUGUAAUUAAGAUACGUAAUGUUUCUGCUUAUUCUCUGAAAGGUAGUGUUAGCUUGUAUGUUAAUUAAUGGUAGUUAUGCCUUAACAUUUAAAGGCUGCAUAUGCCCUGACAACUGAUAGUUCCGCUGCUUUUAAACCUCGGGAUGUUGCAACUCUUUUUUUUUUUUUUUCCCCCCCCC